AGGGUGUAAACGCUGCAGACUUGGUGUUGGAAGUCCUUUGGGGGCAUUCAGUGCCGGAGAGAAGUUGUUAAGUCUGCUACUUGGGGAGUACGUCCGCAAGGAUGAAACUUAAAGGAAUUGGCGGGGGAGCACCGCAACGGGAGGAGCGUGCGGUUUAAUUGGAUUCAACACAGUAAAACUCACCAGGGAAGACUGUUACAUGAAGGCCGAGAUGAAGACUCUGCUAGAUUUUCAGAGAGGAGGUGCAUGGCGUCAGUGACU
rnacentral:rRNA from 1 species